rnacentral:rRNA from 1 species
GCCGUAAACCCAAGGUUUCCAGGGGAAGGUUCGUCCGCCCUGGGUUAGUCGGGACCUAAGCUGAGGCCGAAAGGCGUAGGUGAUGGACAACAGGUUGAUAUUCCUGUACUACCGAUAACCGUUUGAGGGAAGGGAUGACACAGUAGGAUAAGCUAAGCACACUGUUGGUUAUGUGUGCCCAAGCAUUGAGGCAGUCAAAGUAGGCAAAUCCGCUUUGAUAAUGCUGGGAUGUGAUGGGGAGCGAAAUUUAGUAGCGAAGUAGCUGAUUUCACACUGUCAAGAAAAGUCUCUAUCGAGGUUAAAGGUACCCGUACCGCAAACCGACACAGGUG